AGAGCCUUAUAUUCUAUUGCGAGUUAUAUGAGUGUCUGAAAUUCAGACACACUAUACGGGUGUCCGAAUUUCGGACACUCUUACUAUAUUAUAUUGCGCGCGAGUUAUAUGGGUGUCUGAAUUUCAGACAGCCAUAUAACUCGCAAUAGAAUAUAAGAGUGU